rnacentral:rRNA from 1 species
AUUGAACGCUGGCGGCAGGCCUAACACAUGCAAGUCGAGCGGAUGAAGGGAGCUUGCUCCUGGAUUCAGCGGCGGACGGGUGAGUAAUGCCUAGGAAUCUGCCUGGUAGUGGGGGAUAACGUCCGGAAACGGGCGCUAAUACCGCAUACGUCCUGAGGGAGAAAGUGGGGGAUCUUCGGACCUCACGCUAUCAGAUGAGCCUAGGUCGGAUUAGCUAGUUGGUGGGGUAAAGGCCUACCAAGGCGACGAUCCGUAACUGGUCUGAGAGGAUGAUCAGUCAACCUUGAACCGAGACACGGUCCCGACUCCUACGGGAAGCAGCCAUUGGGAAAAUUGGACCAUUGGCGGAAGCCCGAACCAAGCCUGGCGCGGUUGUUAAAGAAGUCUUUGGAUUGUUAAGCACUUUAAGUUGGGAGGAAGGGCAGUAAGUUAAUACCUUGCUGUUUUGACGUUACCAACAGAAUAAGCACCGGCUAACUUCGUG